GCCUAGUUUACACACACUCGAAUACAUGGCUGCCACUUAGUUUCUACUCGGUUUCUGUCUCUCUUUUGACCAAAAUUCUGAAUCUUCUUUCCCAUUGAGUAUUGUAUUGAAUUAGAAGAUAAUUUGUGGCUAAAGGGUAGUUUUUCUUUGAUUAUUAGGAUUGUCUAUGAUCCUUGUGUUCAAGGAUGGAACUCAACAAAGCGUUGGUCAUCCUUUGGAGUCUUUGGAAUUUGCGAAACGAGAUCUGCUUCAAAAAUAGAGUGCCAGGCUUUGGCUCCCUUACAAUUAGGAUAAACUCCGUGCUUUUGGAUCUGUUGGGGCGAUCUGAUUGGGUCUUUUGAGCUCUCCUAUUUCGCUCGCUCCUCCUCCAAGUAGUCUCCACCUGGAGUUGGAAGAUGGAAGCUGAAGGUAAAUGCAACUUGGUCGUGCGGGAUUACGAGGGUAAAGCAAUGCUAAAGGGUUGCAAGUUUUCCCAAAGGUGUGGAAGUGUCAGUUUUCUAGAGGCGGAUGCACUUUUGAAGGGUUUGUGUGCGAUUUAGCAAGAGUGGUCUGGGAAUAACCUUCUUAUUGAAGUGGAAUAUGAUGCAUUGAGGUCAUUAAGCUCCUGAAUAGGGAGGCCUUUUCGCUUGCAAAGAUUGGAGUCCUCAUCGACGAUAUUAUUUUUGUUAGAAACAUUGAUAAUGUUGCUAAUUUUUGUCAUAUGCGUCGAAUGGAGAACAAUUCUGCUCAUGCUAUCGUAGCUUUAGCCUCCUCUCAAGGUUGCUCUUUGAUCUGGAAA